GAUGAACGCUGGCGGCGUGCCUAAUACAUGCAAGUCGAGCGAACAGACGAGGAGCUUGCUCCUUCGACGUUAGCGGCGGACGGGUGAGUAACACGUAGGUAACCUACCUAUAAGACUGGGAUAACUUCGGGAAACCGGAGCUAAUACCGGAUAAUAUUUCGAACCGCAUGGUUCGAUAGUGAAAGAUGGCUUUUCUAUCACUUAUAGAUGGACCUGCGCCGUAUUAGCUAGUUGGUAAGGUAACGGCUUACCAAGGCAAGGAUACGUAGCCGACAGGAGAGGAUGAUCGGCCACACUGGAACUGAGACACGGUCCAGACUCAUACGGGAGGCGGCAGUAGGGAUUCGUCCGGAAUGGGCGAAAGAUUGACGGAGCAAGGCCGAGUGAGUGAUGAAGGACUUCGGAUCGUAAAACUCUGUUAUUAGGGAAGAAAAAACGUGUACGUAACGGGGCACGUCUUGACGGUAACUAAGCAGAAAGCCACGGCUAAAUACGUGC
rnacentral:rRNA from 1 species